GACGACCUCAGAGCAGGCGAGACUACCCGCUGAAUUUAAGCAUAUUACUAAGCGGAGGAAAAGAAACUAACAAGGAUUUCCUUAGUAGCGGCGAGCGAACAGGAAUUAGCCCAGCACUGAAUCCCGCGGUUCUGCCGUUGGGAAAUGUAGUGUUCGGGAGGGUUCGUUUUAUCCCGCGGCGUCGGACCGCGUCCAAGUCCAUCUUGAAUGGGGCCAUUUACCCGUAGAGGGUGCCAGGCCCGUAGAGACCGGGACGCGCCGUGGGUGAACCUCUCCUUAGAGUCGGGUUGCUUGAGAGUGCAGCUCUAAGUUGGUGGUAAACUCCAUCUAAGGCCAAAUAUG
rnacentral:rRNA from 1 species